CCUUAAAUAACAAUGCAAAGUUGAGCGCUGAAGGUUGGUACUUGUACCAACUGGAUGAGCAGCGAACGGGUGAGUAACGCGUGGGGAAUCUGCCUUUGAGCGGGGGACAACAUUUGGAAACGAAUGCUAAUACCGCAUAAAAACUUUAAACACAAGUUUUAAGUUUGAAAGAUGCAAUUGCAUCACUCAAAGAUGAUCCCGCGUUGUAUUAGCUAGUUGGUGAGGUAAAGGCUCACCAAGGCGAUGAUACAUAGCCGACCUGAGAGGGUGAUCGGCCACAUUGGGACUGAGACACGGCCCAAACUCCUACGGGAGGCAGCAGUAGGGAAUCUUCGGCAAUGGACGAAAGUCUGACCGAGCAACGCCGCGUGAGUGAAGAAGGUUUUCGGAUCGUAAAACUCUGUUGGUAGAGAAGAACGUUGGUGAGAGUGGAAAGCUCAUCAAGUGACGGUAACUACCCAGAAAGGGACGGCUAACUACGUGCCAGCAGCCGCGGUAAUACGUAGGUCCCGAGCGUUGUCCGGAUUUAUUGGGCGUAAAGCGAGCGCAGGUGGUUUAUUAAGUCUGGUGUAAAAGGCAGUGGCUCAACCAUUGUAUGCAUUGGAAACUGGUAGACUUGAGUGCAGGAGAGGAGAGUGGAAUUCCAUGUGUAGCGGUGAAAUGCGUAGAUAUAUGGAGGAACACCGGUGGCGAAAGCGGCUCUCUGGCCUGUAACUGACACUGAGGCUCGAAAGCGUGGGGAGCAAACAGGAUUAGAUACCCUGGUAGUCCACGCCGUAAACGAUGAGUGCUAGAUGUAGGGAGCUAUAAGUUCUCUGUAUCGCAGCUAACGCAAUAAGCACUCCGCCUGGGGAGUACGACCGCAAGGUUGAAACUCAAAGGGAAUUGACGGGGGGCCCGCACAAGCGGGUGGAAGCAUGUGGGUUUAAUUUCGA
rnacentral:rRNA from 1 species